rnacentral:rRNA from 1 species
UUCCGGUUGAUCCUGCCGGACCUGACUGCUAUCGGAUUGAUACUAGGCCAUGCGAGUCUUUGCAGUAAUGCGAGGCAUACGGCUCAGUAACACGUAGUCAACUUACCCUAUGGACGAGGAUAACCUCGGGAAACUGAGCAUAAUACUCGAUAGAUCAUAAUGCCUGGAAUGGUUUAUGGUUAAAAUGAUCCGUCGCCAUAGGAUGGGACUGCGGCCUAUCAGCUUGUUGGUGAGGUAAUGGCCCACCAAGGCGAUUACAGGUACGGGCUCUGAGAGGAGAAGCCCGGAGAUGGGUACUGAGACAAGGACCCAGGCCCUAUGGGGCGCAGCAGGCGAGAAAACUUUGCAAUGUGCGAAAGCACGACAAGGUUAAUCCGAGUGAUUUCUGCUAAAGAAAUCUUUUGCAAGUCAUAAAACCACUAGUGAAUAAGGGGUGGGCAAGUUCUGGUGUCAGCCGCCGCGGUAAAACCAGCACCUCAAGUGGUCAGGAGGAUUAUUGGGCCUAAAGCAUCCGUAGCCGGCUCUGUAAGUUUCCGGUUAAAUCCAUGUGCUCAACGCAUGGGCUGCCGAAAAUACUGCAUAGCUAGGGAGUGGGAGAGGUAGACGGUACUCAGUAGGAAGGGGUAAAAUCCUUUGAUCUAUUGAUGACCACCUGUGGCGAAGGCGGUCUACCAGAACACGUUCGACGGUGAGGGAUGAAAGCUGGGGGAGCAAACCGGAUUAGAUACCCGGGUAGUCCCAGCUGUAAACGAUGCAGACUCGAUGAUGCAUUGGCAUAUAGCCAGUGCAGUGUCGCAGGGAAGCCGUUAAGUCUGCCGCCUGGGAAGUACGUACGCAAGUAUGAAACUUAAAGGAAUUGGCGGGGGAGCACCACAAGGGGUGAAGCCUGCGGUUCAAUUGGAAUCAACGCCGGA